GCGGGUCCCUGGCUAAGGCUCCUCCCCGACGAACCCCAUUCCUGCUUUCCCGCUCAAAUGUUGCAUUUUCUAAGACCUCCCUGGCCCGCCAUACGCCGAUCCUGAACCUACGAAAACCCAAGACUGCGGGCACGGUGGCUCAUGCCUGUAAUCCCAGCACUUUGGGAGGCCGAGGCGGGCAGAUCACGAGGUCAAGAAGUCGAGACCAGCCUUGCUAACAUGGCGAAACCCUGACUCUACUGAAAAUACAAAAAUUAGCUGGGCGUGAUGGCGUGCGCGCCUGUAGUCCCAGCUGCUCGGGAGGCUGAGGUAGGAGAAUCGCUUCAAUCCGGGAGGUGGAGGUUGCGGUAAGCAGAGAUUGCGCCACUGCACUCUAGCCUGGCGACAGAGACUCCUUCAAAAACAACAACAACAACAACAACAACAACAAAACAAAACCUCCCAAGACCCUAGUGGGCAGACACACAGCCAGCCAGACAUGGAGAGGAGCACAUUAGCAGAAGAAGACGCAAGUGGCUGGUCCUCGAGAGGACGUUGAGAGGAGCAUGCCAGCAGAAGAGCACACAACGACAGGCACCGACACACCACCGGCAGGCCAUGCACCAGCAGAAUGAUGCGGAGUUUGACGGGGCAGUCAGAGAAGAGCCUGGGCCGCCAAGGGGCCCGACUCCAGGGGAAAACCAUCUCCCUUCUGGCUCCCCCAUCUGCUGAGAGCUACUUCUACUCAAUAAAACCUUGCACUCAUUCUCCAAGCCCACGUGUAAUCCGAUUCUUCAGUGUCACCUCCCAAAUGUGGAAAUGCAUUGUCUUUCUUCUUUCCUAGACCAGUGGUCCUCAAACUUGAGCAGUUUCCUAGGCUGUGUCCUUUGCCUGGAAUGCUCUCUCUUGCUGGCUGGCUUCUUCCCACCAGCUGUGGCCAGGGCUGCUCCUUAUUCCUUCGUCAAAACUCCGUCUGCUGGGUGUGGUGCCUCACACCUGUAAUCCCAGCACUUUGAGAGGCCAAGGUGGGAGUAUCGUUUGAGCCCAGGAGUUCAAGACAAGCCUGGACAACAGAGCAAGACCCUGUCUCUACCAAAGAAAAGAAAAGAAAAGAAAAGAAACAGCCACUUUCUCUUCCAUGAGCCAGUUUAUGUUUUCUUCACGGCAUUUGUUACAAAUCACAAAUGUGGAGGAAAAAUGAAGGCAAAGCAAAAUAACAGGCAAGUCUGAAAACAAAAGUGUUGCCAGUCACGCUAAGCCUCAGGCACGCAUUCUGAAUGAAGCUAAAGUUUAAAGUCCCCUCUGAUAGAUUUGUGACUUAAAUGUCCACACUAGCAAGUGUGUUUCUCACAUGGAGAAGUAGCACGAUUUUAUGUCAGGAAAGGGAUGAGAACAUGCUUCUUGAACACAUACAAUGCUGAAGACAUUUCCUGGAAAACCAUUGGCCUUUGCUUAGGACAGUUGCAUCACACAGAGAUGUUUGUGGUUCAGAUUUAUAAGAAACAUGGGAACUGAAGCCAAAGCACUACUUUUGCUCAGUAUAACCAGGUGCCAGAUCUAAAGUGUUAGGCAGGUUCCUAUAUGUAUGUUAGAAAAAAGUUGCCCAAGUUUUGGACAAUUCCUUUUCCAUCUCUCUUACAAGUCAACAAAUCGAAGCAAUAAACUAUUCUCUGAAGAAAACAAAUUUAUUUGGUUGAUUCAAACUUUUAAUGAGACUAUUACUCCCCUGUGUGCCUUUCCUUUCUCUGGUUCUAGAAAUACAUCUAGAAAGGGGGAAAAUGUUAAUAUAUUUUCUACUGACUUUAUAUCACAAAUGCUUAGCUUAGAGGGUGGACUCUGAGGAACAGUGUCCUUUCCAAAUAUUAUAAAACUUUGUGUUCAUUCUGGAAAAACAAACAAAAUUAAUCACAAUGAUUUCCUGCUUUGGAGCAAUGAGAAAUGGGAGGGAAACUUCACCUUUUCAUAGCUUUUGAUGUUUGCACCAUGUGAAUUACCCACCCCCAAAUUUAAAAUACGAAUUUUUGAAAAAGUGUUUACCUCUGAGAAGAGAAACUAGUAGUGAAGAAUGAGGAGCUGUAGAUUUUUAACGAUUCUGAUGUAUUUGCAUUUUUCCCAAUGUUCAUGAAUAAAUAAAUGUGCAUUCAUAAUUAAAAAGAAUAAACAACCUGGAAAAAACAAAAAAAGCUCUGCGUUCACUGAUCUCUAAAUAAGAAAAGAUAAGACUUGUAGUGUGGCCUUGUACUUGUACAUCUUUUCCAUGUGCCAAAGAGCUACCCCAUGGUCAAGCCAAGUGGUGAUUAUGUAGCUUUCUCUGAACAGACAUAAUAGGGCUACACAUUCACUGUGAAAAAGCUGCAGACAGAUGACACCAGUCAACAGAACACCCUACACAGAAACUGUAAAACCAUUUUAAC
rnacentral:lncRNA from 1 species